AUAGAGUCAAAUGUGUGGUAAAGAUGGCGGCCAUUCGAGGGACACCCGAAUCCGACGCUGGAAGUUUUGAGUGUUUUCAAAAUUACACAGCCCCGGAGGUUUUCGUCCAAGGUCUAGCGGGCAUCGUAGAUCAACAAGAUGUAGAAUCUAUGAUUCGUGCUCAGAAGCAAAUGCUUCAAAGAUUCGAAAAAACGAAUGAAAUGCUAACAAACUGCAAUCAGCUAUCGGUAAAUCGUUUGAAGACUGCGGGAGUCGAGUUUAAGAAACACACCGCAUUGUUAGCAGAAAUGAAACGAGAUUUGGAUCACAUUUUCAAGCGGAUUCGGGUGGUCAAGACCAAACUCAGCCAACAAUAUCCGCAGGCAUUCAACGAGGCUGUAAGGAGUAGCCUGGCAGAGGAAGUUAUUGUCGAAGACAUUGUGCCAGGUCCACCGCCCCUCCAGCCCGAAAUAGUACCUCUACCCUUACCUGUGGAAAGCCAUGUUACCGAUGGAGAUCCAGACUCAGACGUUCCAGUGGAGGAGUUCCAAUUCGCAAAACUUCGGAAAAGACGGGUAAAGAGCAGCAAUAGCUCAUCGACCGAAAGCAACAACGAAAAUAGCAACGCCGAAUCCUCACCGUGCACCUCAGACACUGGCUGAUGAAAUUUUAUAAUUUUUCAACAGCCGACUGAGGAACUCGCAAGGACCCCAAGCAAAUUAGCCGACAAUAAACAGUAACUUCGCUAGAAAGCAAACGUUCAACAUUGUGGCCCUCGUAUUUAACAUUGUUACGAUAUGUAUAAUAAUAAAAAACAUGUAUAUAUGUAUACAGCACAUGUACACAAAAUUCCGAGUUUAUACAUCGAUAUAUAAUAUUAUUGUAUACACCUAUUAUAUUGUCA